AAUAUUGCACAAUGGGGGAAACUCUGACGCAGCGACGCCGCGUGAGCGAUGAAGGUCUUCGGAUCGUAAAGCCCUGUCCUUGGGGAAGAAGGUCUUCGGACUUUACGUUACCUACGGUGGAUACCCCGGCUAACUACGUGCCAGCAGCCGCGGUAAUACGUAGGGGGCAAGCGUUGGCCGGAAUUAUUGGGCGUAAAGGGGGCGUAGGCGGCCGUUUAAGUCAGAUGUGAAAGCCCACGGCUUAACCGUGGGACUGCAUUUGAAACUGGAGGGCUUGAGUAUCGGAGAGGGUAGUGGAAUUCCCAGUGUAGCGGUGGAAUGCGUAGAUAUUGGGAGGAACACCAGUGGCGAAGGCGACUACCUGGACGAAAACUGACGCUGAGGCACGAAAGCUAGGGGAGCAAGC
rnacentral:rRNA from 1 species